rnacentral:rRNA from 1 species
GUAACAAGGUCUCCGUUGGUGAACCAGCGGAGGGAUCAUUACC